UUUUAUGAGAGUUUGAUCCUGGCUCAGGACGAACGCUGGCGGCGUGCCUAAUACAUGCAAGUCGAGCGGAUGAAGGGGAGC
rnacentral:rRNA from 1 species